rnacentral:rRNA from 1 species
UGGGGAAUUUUGCGCAAUGGGGGAAACCCUGACGCAGCAACGCCGCGUGAGUGAUGAAGGCCUUCGGGUCGUAAAGCUCUGUCAGAGGGGAAGAAAUGCAGGGGUGCUAAUAUCAUCUUUGCUUGACGGUACCCUCAAAGGAAGCACCGGCUAACUCCGUGCCAGCAGCCGCGGUAAUACGGAGGGUGCGAGCGUUGUUCGGAAUUAUUGGGCGUAAAGCGCGUGUAGGCGGUUUGAUAAGUCUGAUGUGAAAGCCCCGGGCUCAACCUGGGAAGUGCAUUGGAAACUGUCAGACUUGAAUACGGGAGAGGGUAGUGGAGUUCCUAGUGUAGGAGUGAAAUCCGUAGAUAUUAGGAGGAACACCGGUGGCGAAGGCGGCUACCUGGACCGAUAUUGACGCUGAGACGCGAAAGCAUGGGGAGCAAACAG